CUGAGAUUAAUUUACACUGAUACAAAGGGGAUUAUCUCUAUGCAAAUAAGGUUACAGUGAUAUAGCAGCCAAUUUUCAAGGAUUUGCAAAAACUCAAAUGAAUUUAGAAUUUUCUCUUUGUAAUAUAGCAGAAAUUACUUUUCCUAAACGAAGCUCAUAUGAUUUAUGCUUGCUCAUAAUAGGUUCUGCAAAAAUCCAUGGAAGUACCCUAAAAGGACCAGCAGGGGGAUUUAG